rnacentral:misc_RNA from 1 species
AAGUCGUAACAAGGUUUCCGUAGGUGAACCUGCGGAAGGAUCAUUAUUGAAUCUUCUCUUUUACAUUGUGAACUUUUUUUGUUGCUUUUUCGUUUGGAAUUUUGGGUUUCGUUGAUAAUUUUGAGCAGCUUUGCUUCAUUGUGAAGAUGUGAGAAACUGUUGGCGAAUGCAAAAGACUAACGAAAAAGGACAAAACAUUUUAAACAUAUAACAAAUGCAGUCUAAUCAAAAAAACAACAAUCAAAAACAACUUUUAACAAGGGAUCUCUUGGCUCUC